CGCUGGCGGCGUGCUUAACACAUGCAAGUCGAACGGUGAAGCCAAGCUUGCUUGGUGGAUCAGUGGCGAACGGGUGAGUAACACGUGAGCAACCUGCCCUGGACUCUGGGAUAAGCGCUGGAAACGGCGUCUAAUACUGGAUAUGAGACGUGAUCGCAUGGUCGUGUUUGGAAAGAUUUUUCGGUCUGGGAUGGGCUCGCGGCCUAUCAGCUUGUUGGUGAGGUAAUGGCUCACCAAGGCGUCGACGGGUAGCCGGCCUGAGAGGGUGACCGGCCACACUGGGACUGAGACACGGCCCAGACUCCUACGGGAGGCAGCAGUGGGGAAUAUUGCACAAUGGGCGAAAGCCUGAUGCAGCAACGCCGCGUGAGGGAUGACGGCCUUCGGGUUGUAAACCUCUUUUAGCAGGGAAGAAGCGAAAGUGACGGUACCUGCAGAAAAAGCGCCGGCUAACUACGUGCCAGCAGCCGCGGUAAUACGUAGGGCGCAAGCGUUAUCCGGAAUUAUUGGGCGUAAAGAGCUCGUAGGCGGUUUGUCGCGUCUGCUGUGAAAUCCCGAGGCUCAACCUCGGGCCUGCAGUGGGUACGGGCAGACUAGAGUGCGGUAGGGGAGAUUGGAAUUCCUGGUGUAGCGGUGGAAUGCGCAGAUAUCAGGAGGAACACCGAUGGCGAAGGCAGAUCUCUGGGCCGUAACUGACGCUGAGGAGCGAAAGGGUGGGGAGCAAACAGGCUUAGAUACCCUGGUAGUCCACCCCGUAAACGUUGGGAACUAGUUGUGGGGACCAUUCCACGGUUUCCGUGACGCAGCUAACGCAUUAAGUUCCCCGCCUGGGGAGUACGGCCGCAAGGCUAAAACUCAAAGGAAUUGACGGGGACCCGCACAAGCGGCGGAGCAUGCGGAUUAAUUCGAUGCAACGCGAAGAACCUUACCAAGGCUUGACAUAUACGAGAACGGGCCAGAAAUGGUCAACUCUUUGGACACUCGUAAACAGGUGGUGCAUGGUUGUCGUCAGCUCG
rnacentral:rRNA from 1 species